ACACUGGUUGAUCCUGCCAGAGGCUACUGCUAUCAGAGUUCGAUUAAGCCAUGUUAGUCGAGGGUGCUUCUUCCUCUUCGGAGGGAGGAGUAACCCGGCAGACGGCUCAGUAACACGUGGACAACUUGUCCUGCGGUCCGGGAUAACCCCUGGGAAACUGGGGCUAAUACCGGAUAGAGCACCGACCGCUGGAAUGCGCGAUGCUCGAAAGCUCCGGCGCCACAGGGUAGGUCUGCGGCCGAUUAGGUUGUUGUUGAUGUAACGGAUUAACAAGCCUCCAAUCGGUAUGGGUUGUGAGAGCAAUAGCCCAGAGAUGGGUUCUGAGAGAAGAACCCAGGUCCUACGGGACGCAUCAGGCGCGAAAACUUUACACUGUGCGCAAGCACGAUAAGGGAACUCUGAGUGCCUCCACAGGAGGCUGUUCAGGUGUCUAAAACGCACUUGAAGGAAGGGCUGGGUAAGACCGGUGCCAGCCGCCGCGGUAACACCGGCAGCCCAAGUGGUGGCCAUUUUUACUGGGUCUAAAGCGUCCGUAGCCGGCCUGAUAAGUUCCUUGGGAAAUUUGACCGCUCAACGAUCAAGCUUCCAGGGAAUACUGCCGGGCUUGGGACCGGGAGAGGUCAGAGGUACCUCAAGGGUAGGGGUGAAAUCCGUUAAUCCUUGAGGGACCGCCAGUAGCGAAGGCGUCUGUCCAGACCGGAUCCGACGGUGAGGGACGAAGGCUAGGGGAGCGAACCGGAUUAGAUACCCGGGUAGUCCUAGCUGUAAACGAUGCGGGCUAGGUGUUGGCAUUACUGC
rnacentral:rRNA from 1 species